rnacentral:tRNA from 1 species
GAGGGAAUAGCUCAGUGGUGGAGCACGUGCUUAGCACGCAUGAGGUCCUAGGUUCAAUCCCCAGUACCUCCA